rnacentral:sRNA from 1 species
UAAGAUACGGUGGAAGGGGAUGAAGAAAUGAGAGAAUGAAAGAAUGUAUAUAUUUAUAGGAUGAGAAGUGAUGGAAGUUACAAUUU